UUUGCCUACGGGGGGCAGCAGUGGGGAAUAUUGCGCAAUGGGGGGAACCCUGACGCAGCAACGCCGCGUGGGUGAAGAAGGUCUUCGGAUCGUAAAACCCUGUUGUUAGAGAAGAAAGUGCGUGAGAGUAACUGUUCACGUUUCGACGGUAUCUAACCAGAAAGCCACGGCUAACUACGUGCCAGCAGCCGCGGUAGUACGUAGGUGGCAAGCGUUAUCCGGAUUUAUUGGGCGUAAAGGGAACGCAGGCGGUCUUUUAAGUCUGAUGUUAAAGACUUCGGCUUAACCGGAGUAGUGCAUUGGAA
rnacentral:rRNA from 1 species